GACGAACCGUGCGAACGUUGUUCGGAAUCACUGGGCUUAAAGGGCGCGUAGGCGGGCUCACAAGUCAGGGGUGAAAGCCCACGGCUCAACCGUGGAAGAGCCUUUGAUACUGUGGGUCUCGAGGGAGGUAGGGGCGUGCGGAACUUCCGGUGGAGCGGUGAAAUGCGUAGAUAUCGGAAGGAACAUCGGUGGCGAAAGCGGCGCGCUGGACCUCUUCUGACGCUGAGGCGCGAAAGCCAGGGGAGCAACGGG
rnacentral:rRNA from 1 species